rnacentral:rRNA from 1 species
CCUACGGGCGGCAGCAGUGGGGAAUAUUGGACAAUGGGGGGAACCCUGAUCCAGCGACGCCGCGUGAGUGAAGAAGUAUCUCUGUAUUGAAAGCUCCAUUAGCAGGGAAGAAAAUGACGGUACCUGACUAAGAAGCCCCGGCUAACUACGUGCCAGCAGCCGCGGUAAUACGUAGGGGGCAAGCGUUAUCCGGAUUUACUGGGUGUAAAGGGAGCGUAGACGGUGCAGCAAGUCUGAUGUGAAAGGUCGGGGCCCAACCCCGGGACUGCAUUGGAAACUGUUGAACUAGAGUACAGGAGAGGUAGGCGGAAUUCCUGGUGUAGCGGUGAAAUGCGUAGAUAUUAGGCAGAACACCGGUGGCGAAGGCAGCUUACUGGGCUGUAACUGACGUUGAGGCUCGAAAGCGUGGGGAGCAAACAGGAUUAGAUACCCCAGUAGUC